CACAGGUUUUUUUACACUCAUUAUGCAUACUCAUAAUUUAAUUUUGUAUGUAUAAUCUUUAUAUCUUCUAUAUAUUAAUAUGUUCAUUUUAAGAAACUGAACUAGAUGUGAGACCCCAACCCCACAUCUAGCAUGUAUUCAAUAACCUCCUUCCUUAAGGGUGGCUCUGCGCGGCUCAGCCUCAUGGACACAAUUUGCGUGGCCUGGUGACUCAAACUACCAAGUUGGCUAACCGGAAGUGGAUGAAGAUAGUGCAUCUUUGGCAGCAAAGGUUGCGAGUACAUAUGCAUCAUACUGAGAAAGGACGAGCAUGUGAAACGGACUCUCAAAUGAAGUUCUCCCAUCUUCUUGACACCAUUAGGAUGCAGGACAAGGAGAGGAUAAGAGUGCGUGUAAAC
rnacentral:misc_RNA from 1 species